rnacentral:lncRNA from 1 species
AGGGUACAGAGGAUUUGGGUACAGCAGAUCUGAAGUUUCUCUUACAAUUGUAGUGCGUAAGCUUUGAUUUAUUAGACUUUUCACUUCCUCCGUCUAUAAAUUUUCUUCCACAUCUAUUUUCUGCACUUACUUAAAUUCCUUGUUAAUCUAUUACAGUAUUCUUCAAGAUUUUCAGCCGAGAAAAUUAAUAAUGACAGAAGAUAACCAUGCAAUUGGGAUCGAUCUGGGGACAACUUAUUCGUGCGUGGCAGCGUGGCAGGCUGAUCAUGUAGAAAUCCUGGUGAACGAUCACGGUAACAGAACAACUCGAUCUUAUGUUACCUUCACUGAUAGUAAGAGGUUGGUAGGAGAUGAAGCAUUUAACCAAGUCGGGAGGUUCCCCGCCAACUCAAUCUUCGGUAAGAUUAAAAUGAUAUGAUCAAUUAUACUUAAUUGUUUAAUUGUUUCCUUCCUGACAUAAUAAUCUAAAAAUGAUUUUACAGAUGCAAAGCGGUUAAUUGGUAGGAGAUUUAAUGAAGAAACUGUUCAAAAAGAUGUCAAGUGCUGGCCAUUCAAGGUCAUUGAAGGUCCUGCUGACAAGCCCUUGAUUGUGGUUAACCACAAGGGUGAAGAGAAAAAAUUUGCUGCUGAAGACAUCUCUUCCAUGGUUUUGGCAAAGAUGCGGGAGAUUGCCGAGUCCUACCUUUGCUCAAAGAUUUCAGCAAAAAAUGCAGUUAUCACUGUACCCUCUUACUUCAACGACUCACAGCGCCAGGCUACAAUAGAGGCUGGCAAACUAGCGGGCUUAAAUGUGCUGCGUAUUAUCAACGAACCAACUGCUGCAGCCAUCGCUUAUGGAAUCGACAAGAAGGCCGGUUGGUUUAGUAAGAGAAAUGUGAUGAUCUUUGAUUGGGGCGGCGGUACUUUGGAUGUGUCACUACUUACCAUAGGCCAUGGUGUCUUUGACGUGAAGGCCACUUCCGGAGAUACUCACCUUGGCGGUGAAGACUUGGAUAACAGAAUGGUGAAUUACUGCGUCGAAGAAUUCAAGACAAAACAGAACGUGGACAUUGGUGGAAACGCCAAAGCUCUUCGGAAGGCCAAAACUGCGUGCGAGAAAGCAAAGAAGGCACUUUCAUUUUCCUUUGACACUGAUAUUGAAAUCGACUCUUGGUAUAAGGGUGAAGAUUUUCAUACAACUUUCACACGGGACAAAUUCGAAGAACUGAAUAUGGAUAUCUUCAACAAGUGCAUGGAGCCUGUGAACAAGUGUUUGGAGGAUGCCAAAAUGGACAUAAGCAAUGUCGACCAUGUUGUUCUUGUUGGUGGGUCUUCCAGAAUCCCCAAGGUGCAAGAGCUGUUGCAGGAGGUUUUCAAGGGUAAGGAGUUGUGCAAGAGCAUAAAUCCCGAUGAGGCCGUGGCUUAUGGAGCCGCUGUUCAGGCUGCAGCCUUGAGUGGGAAUGUAACGGGGAAGCUUCAAGACUUCACUCUCUUAGAUGUCACCCCUCUAUCACUUGGGUUGGAGUGUAGGGAUCAUGAUAGUUCCGAGCUUUACAUGAAAGUUGUGAUUCCAAGAAACUCAAGAAUUCCGGUGAGGAAGACAACAAGUUUAACUACUGUUUAUGACUACCAAGAGGCUGUUACCUUCCCCAUUUAUGAGGGUGAAAGUAAAGUAGCAAAAAAUAAUAAUUAUUUAGGUGAAUUCACCCUCCAUGGCAUUCCUCCGGCUCCCAAGCACGUUCCCAAGUUCACUGUUUACUUUGAUAUGGACGCAAAUGGAGUUUUGAGUGUCUCCGCUGAGGAUAUGUCCACUGGCCAGAAGAAAGGGAUCAAAAUCAACCGUGACAGAACCAAGAACUAACUCUUAAGGGAAUAUUAAGGAUUAAGAUAGCAUCUAUAAAAUAAUUAUUUUCUUUGAUUUCAUAUAUAUGUUUAAGAUAGCAUGGAAUAAGGAAGUCGAUAUGAACUUCUUUUGCUGGCUGCUUGUGCAUUUCGUGAUUGGCUGGUUUUUUCUUCUCUGGGUUGGGUAUGGGGAGUGUGCCUUGUAAAAGACUUGCCUGAUUUGUAGCGCAGACAUCUUAUAAGUAAAAACAUAUAUUUCUUCCCGCAAGCAUUCAGGAGAGCUUCAUUUUUUUUAUUUUAUUAAAUUUUUGUGUCUUGCUCCUUAUAAUCAUCAAGGGGAUUUGUUA